GAAUGUAAAGAUAAGAAGAAGCCCUAUGCAACUUACUCAAUGUUCUACAAUAUUUUUCAGAAUGAGUACAAUAUCGCUUUCUUUGCUCCUAAGAAAGAUCAGUGUGACUUGUGUGUGUUGUUCAAUAAUGCAGAUGGGGAAGCUAAGGAAAACUUAAAAGAAAAGUAUGACACACAUCAAUGUGAAAAGGUACUUUCAAGGGAAGAGAAGAAGCAAGAUAAAACUGAAGGAAAUGCUAUAGUUGCUGUGUAUGAUCUACAAGCCGUACUGCAACUUCCACAAGAAUGAAGGCGACUCUGCGCAUUCUCUGAUUGAAAAACAAAUAAGGAGACUGAAGAAAGGGGGACCAAUAUUCGUUCCUGAAACCCUUGUCACUGCGAUUCGCUCUGCAAAGAAAACAGGCCAGCCGUUCCAAGUUCGCGUAAUGCAGUAUGAUGACUUUAAAAAUGUGAAGUCUCUUACUACACAAAUGGGAGCAAUCAAUGUCAAAGAUUUAAGAUUAAGUGAAAUCAAAGUCAUGAAGUUUGAAAAGCAAUGUCCAGCCUCAGUCUUAGUGAAAUAUUCAUACAGUGAUGAAUUCAAACGUGUUCUAUUGAUCAGAAAACCAAAGGUUGCCACAGAUCUCUUGCAGUGUUACUCAGAGAAAAUUCCCCCAAGCGAAAAUAAGAAAAAAGAUCUUAAAGAACUCUGUGAAAAAGGCUUAAUCCCACGUCCCUAUUCGACUUUUUUAACAACAUUACCUAAUUUUGAUGCUUAAUUGGUCACAAAGAUGUAAUACUUAUCAUUCAUUUUUUUUUUUUAUAACUGAGUUACGGCCAAGGGUAACAAAAAUUUAAAGGAAAUACUUGCUUCAUGUAAUUUAAACCUAUCUAUUUGAAAGAUUUCAUUAAUUUGAAGGAAAUUGUUUGCUUUAUGUGGCUGAACCAAUUGAUUUGAAAGAAAAAAAACUUUUUUUUUUUUUUACUUUUUUUUUCUUGGUAUGCAUUUUGUUGGAAGAAUAACAACAGAAUAUAAUGGUAUAAUAUAUUUCUGAAUAGGUACACAGCAUUUAUGAUUUAUUUCAAUUUGUUUUGUUACUGAAUGGAUAAAUACUGUUCUUUUUGUAAGGAAUAUUUAGUUUUAUAAUAAACUGGAAUCAUA